rnacentral:rRNA from 1 species
CAGCCGCCGCGGGAAAACGUAGGUGGCAAGCGUUGUCCGGAAUUAUUGGGCGUAAAGGGCUCGCAGGCGGUUUCUUAAGUCUGAUGUGAAAGCCCCCGGCUCAACCGGGGAGGGUCAUUGGAAACUGGGAAACUUGAGUGCAGAAGAGGAGAGUGGAAUUCCACGUGUAGCGGUGAAAUGCGUAGAGAUGUGGAGGAACACCAGUGGCGAAGGCGACUCUCUGGUCUGUAACUGACGCUGAGGAGCGAAAGCGUGGGGAGCGAACAGGAUUAGAGACCCCCGUAGUCCCUGUCUCUUAUAC